ensembl:lncRNA novel transcript, antisense to ATP6V0A2
AAGUAAUGAAAGACUUCCUCCCGAAUAAACAAACAGAGGAGCCCGCAACUGAAUGGCUUCAGUUACACAACGAUAAUUGUUUUAGAAGAGUUAUCAAGAGCUCCAGCCUACUUCACAGGGUGAGGAACGAAUUCACCGAGGAUGCUAAUAAGCAGCACAGGAUUUGUACUGGGCACUCUCAAGAAACAGUUAAGAUACAACUUGACAUGAAACUGCUCAACCUGGUACUUCCCACUAGCUGUCACCACGGAAGUCACCACCUGCCCCCCUUUCCCUUGCAAGGGUUACUAACAGUGAUCCCAUCUGGUCACCACAAAGUCAGUAGGAAACUCAGGCUGAAGACACACUGAAAACCUAGCACCACACAAGAGCUCAUCGCAGCAACCUUAGUUUUACUUCCUUCUGGAAAAAGAUGAACAGCACUUUCUUCUCCUUUCACUGACAUUCAGUUGAAAAGGAUCCCAGGUACACUCUAUGACUGGAGGUAGUGGCGCUUAUUGAAACUGGAACCUUCAUAGUGAUUAGUACGUUUGCUCAAACCUGUAAGACUGAAGUGUGAUAAGUGUCUUGGCUUGAGUACUAACCGGAAGGAAAACAUCUACCUGUUACAAAUGUAGGAGCCUGCUGCACCUGCAGCUGUUGCCUGAAUGUUUUGGGUGCUAUUCACAGCUCAGCGCAGCAUCCAUCAGGUGAAUGGGUACAACUGCAGAAGUGGCUCCAGGAACCAGGAACCGCCCUGCAUCUUACCUGCACCCUCGCCUGUCACUCAGGAGUCUCUCCAUGACUUUGCAACUGCCUUAUGGGGCUGAUCUGGUAUUAGAUAUCUGAUAUCAAUGGAUAUCAGAUCUCGGGUAGGGCUGAUCCCUUUUGAAAUUAAGGACACCUUAGGAAGAUUAAGGGAAACAGUCAGGAGAUGAAAGUGGUGGCCAGGAAAUAAAAUGUUCGCCUGAGUGGAUUUCAAUUCAGUCAGUAAGUACUUGCUUCACGGUCUCCCUUCCACACCCUGUUCUUUGCCUUCUUAGCACUUAUCACAGCUCAUAAUCAGAGUGUGUUUAAUCUGUCUCCUCCCACACUGGAAGCUCCAGGAACACAGGGACUGUGUCUGCCUUGCUCACCACCGAGUCUCCAGCACCAAAAACAGUGCCUGAACAUAGCGGGCAGUCAAGAAAAGCUUGUCUGUUCAUUCAACAAAUGCCUAUCGAUGCCAAUGACUGCCAAGGACUGCGUUAAGGUACUUACUCUCAGAGGUUGACAGUCCUUGGUGGAGACAAACAAUAAACAAGUAAAUGGACAAACAAA